ensembl:lncRNA
CCUAUUCCAAAUGUAUGGAAAUACACAAUGUCCAAAAAAAAAUGGAGACGGCUUAACAGUGAGCCAAUACAUCGAGUCAGCAAACAGCUCUUACAGAGUUAUUUUAGUUCGCAUCCACCAUUGAAACUAGCCCCUCGAGAGCUAUUAAGUGAGCAGAAUGCGAGUACCUGCCGGAGAAUGAUCUGAUAGCCUUGGAGUUCGCUUAGGAUUGGACCGAGCUCUGAGUGGUUUGCCAUUUUGGCUUCGAGCAACAAAGAGAGGGGGAUUUGAUGGCAAAAGAUGAACGGGAGACUGCGGGUGAGUUAUGCAGGUGCUAGUGGAGACGCUGUGUGAUAGAUAGAAAGGGGGCAGCACGUCGUGUAAGCAGGAGAUAAAUACUCAGGGAGAAGAAAGGGAGGUCUCAGAGCGAGAGAUAAAGAGUUCGGAAAAAUAAACGAAUGCUAUGCGGGGCUUAAAAAACUAGGAGAGGAACAUCAAAGCAUCCUCGCUGCUAAUCAAGGCUACAGCAGGGAGAGGUGAGCCCAGGAGCCAUCAGCAGUAAGGUGCAUCAGAGGCCCUCGGAGCCGCCACCCCUUCCCCUGUCCUCCCUGGCCUCUCACCCCGCCAUCUGGAGCUCUCACAUGGAGUCAAGCCCCCCUGCACCUGAAGCCCCUGGCCUGGAGAAUGGAGCACCACCUCUAUCCCAUUACUCUACCUGCUGCCAGCACACACACACACACACAGGAAUACUUUCCUCUUGAAAGAAACAAAAAACUCACAACUUCUGGUCCCUGUGACAGCCUGGCCUUGGGAUGCACCCAUAUUGCCUAGAAGCACUUGGCUAAACUCACACACACACACACACACACACACACACACAAACAUAGAGACACACAGAUACACCGAAUUCCUCUAAUGUAUCAGCAAUACCCAGGAAAUAAAAUUCCAGCCCGCGGUAAUUAGGUGGGAGUGAGGCUACAUGGUCACAGACAGAUGCACGUUGCCAUGGAAAGGGGCAAGGGUAGGCUUGUCUCAUCCAUUCGGUUGCUAUGGUGAAGGACAGGCCUCUUUUGCCUCUCAAACUGGAUGUACAUUUCGGACACUGGGCCAGUCAGAGAACACGGAAACACACGGCUAGCUCAGCCGCUAGCACGGACCUCUGUUGGAUGUUAACCAAUGCUGUACAGCUUGGACUACCAGACACAGUAUAUAUCUAUGUAAAAACACAUCAAGCCCCGGCAGUGGGUGUGAACAGAGAUCUAUCUAUAUGUGGGACAUGUCGUGGAGAUUGUUUUCAAUCAGAGAUUUUGGAAGGGUUUUGUUUUUCUUUUUUUCUCUCUUCUUUUUUUGAAAAAAAAAACCCAACAAAAAACAAACAUUAUUUACACAUUCCCUUCUUCGGUGUCAUGUUGAUAUAGUGUAUGGAUGAUAAUGGUGGCAUUUAUUGUGGUUUCUGACAUUUGAAAAAAAAAAAUAAAGUGGAUGGGAGAAGUGUCCCCCUUUCUCUGGAUCUGAGGAGAACCGGUUCCUGUUUCUGUGUCCUCUGAAGAGAGCAAUUUUUUUGUAGUUUUCCUUGUACUUUUUCCUG